UUUUCCUAGUAGCUAUAAUAAUCCUAGUAACAGCCAACAACAUAUUCCAAUUUCUCAUUGGCUGAGAAGGAGU
rnacentral:tRNA from 1 species